ACCUUUGUGUAACGAAUUUAUGUUACGACUAUGAUUUACGCAUGUCGUUGUAUUUGGUUCUUGUCUUGUGGAGUCCAGUGUCUGAUGUCAUAUAUGGUCUAGGUGUACGCGUGAGCAUGGUGUGAUGUGUGACGUUUAUGGUAUGUGGUGCAUGCAGGAGUACGCGUUGUCAGAGUGUGAGGAUGUGCUUCCGUCUGUGUGAGAGUGACUGUCAAGUGAAUGCAGUACAUGCGCAGUGCUAGUUUGGUCUGGGAAUGAGAGUCGUGUGUGAUUCGUCCGUGGUCUGGUUGUCUUGGUCUUGGUCAUGUGUUCUGUACGUAUUAGUCCCUGAUUGGUCGUCACGAUUUGUCCUCGGUUUAUUACUGCUUGUUCUUUGUUGGUCCUCUGAGUCUUUUCCCGGGAGUCUUUCCUGUUGUCCUUCCUGUCGUCUCCAAGUUUCGUCUUUCUCCUCCUGUGCCCUUUCCGUUUGUAUAAGAAGUCAGAAACUCCACCAAGUUGUUUGAGCUGUUGUGUGACAGGGGCCAGGGGGAGAAGGCAAUACUAUUUCCUUUACAUUGGCGCCCAACGUUCGCUCGACGCAGGGUACUACCUCUGCAGCCCACGACCCUGGGAUCGUUUUGUUUUCACCGUGGCUUCAGUUCGUGCUCGCCGUUUCGAAAUAUAUUUUAUUUCUCGUCGUUCAACUCACUUCACCGAGAUUGCUACUACGGCCAUGGAGAUGGAAAGGCGUUCGCCAGCCUGGCCUGCAGGCCCCUUACCCGUCGUACGACGCACCACCUCGUGGAACCACACCCAAGGUUUUCCCAUCUCCACGUCUGCAGCCAGCCACUUGCCGUUGUCCUGUCUUCUUCUCCUGUUAUUGUGUCUUCUCAACCCUUUUGUUUUCCUCCUACUCCAUUUUUCUACUUCUGAGAGUCGAGGUCGACUCUCGCCGGAGGGGAAGGCUGUGUAACGAAUUUAUGUUACGACUAUGAUUUACGCAUGUCGUUGUAUUUGGUUCUUGUCUUGUGGAGUCCAGUGUCUGAUGUCAUAUAUGGUCUAGGUGUACGCGUGAGCAUGGUGUGAUGUGUGACGUUUAUGGUAUGUGGUGCAUGCAGGAGUACGCGUUGUCAGAGUGUGAGGAUGUGCUUCCGUCUGUGUGAGAGUGACUGUCAAGUGAAUGCAGUACAUGCGCAGUGCUAGUUUGGUCUGGGAAUGAGAGUCGUGUGUGAUUCGUCCGUGGUCUGGUUGUCUUGGUCUUGGUCAUGUGUUCUGUACGUAUUAGUCCCUGAUUGGUCGUCACGAUUUGUCCUCGGUUUAUUACUGCUUGUUCUUUGUUGGUCCUCUGAGUCUUUUCCCGGGAGUCUUUCCUGUUGUCCUUCCUGUCGUCUCCAAGUUUCGUCUUUCUCCUCCUGUGCCCUUUCCGUUUGUAUAAGAAGUCAGAAACUCCA